CCCAGACUCCUACGGGAGGCAGCAGUGGGGAAUAUUGCACAAUGGGGGAAACCCUGAUGCAGCGACGCCGCGUGAGUGAAGAAGUAUUUCGGUAUGUAAAGCUCUAUCAGCAGGGAAGAAAAUGACGGUACCUGAUUAAGAAGCCCCGGCUAACUACGUGCCAGCAGCCGCGGUAAUACGUAGGGGGCAAGCGUUAUCCGGAUUUACUGGGUGUAAAGGGAGCGUAGACGGUGAUGCAAGUCAGAAGUGAAAGCCCGGGGCUCAACUCCAGGACUGCUUUUGAAACUGUGUGACUGGAGUGCAGGAGAGGUAAGCGGAAUUCCUGGUGUAGCGGUGAAAUGCGUAGAUAUUAGGAGGAACACCAGUGGCGAAGGCGGCUUACUGGACUGUAACUGACGUUGAGGCUCGAAAGCGUGGGGAGCAAACAGGAUUAGAUACCCCCGUAA
rnacentral:rRNA from 1 species